AGGCCUGCAGGGUUUCCCAUAACCCACUGGUUGAGGAAGAGAAUGGAGCCUUGAUGAGAAACAAAUCAGAAUGUGAUGCUGGAACUAGGCAGAAGUGAACGUUACUACAUCACAUUCCCCAGAGGUUUCAGUCCAUGGCUGGCUGGCUCCAAGGAAGAAACAUCCUUGAAAAAGGGCAUGGUGACAGAAAGCCCCUCAACUCCUGAUGUCUGAGAAGUAGAGAAGAAGAGCAGGAAAGGAAGAGGCCAGAGACCAGGCACAGAAGAAGAAAUGAAAGUAAAAGAACAAAAAGAAAAAAAUGGACUGCCACCACUUGCUUAGAAAUUGGAAGGCAAAGUACCUCUGGGCUAAUAAACCUAACCUUUGACCUUGCUGUGGCUGCUUAUGUCCUUACUAGAACGAGAAGUUGGAUACCCCUCUUACUUUUCUUUUGGAAAGUUGGUCCUCUACACUGAUUUGCAGAAGCAAAUUUUGUCUCACAGUUUUGUGCCUUACAGUUUUUCCUCACAUGAGGGGCCCUUUGUAGCAGUGUGCAACUAUGGUGGCACAGAAGAUAAAAAUUUGUG
ensembl:lncRNA